rnacentral:misc_RNA from 1 species
AACGCAAAUUGCACUUUCUGGUAUUCCGGAAAGUAUGCCUGUUUGAGGGUCAGUUAAAUAAAAAUCGGUGUUGUUGCUACCCGUAGUGGUGUUAAUGCAUCGGAAUUGAGUUGUCUUUACCUUUUUUGGUUAAAGUGACUUAAAAUUAUGUACGAUUUUUUGAACGUAUUUAAAUUAUUUACGUAUGUUCAUAAUAUCAAAUAUUAGGUGCGGUCAUCCUUAUGAUUCACAUCUAUAAUUUUUCAUUAUUUGACCUCAAAUCAGGUAAGAGUACCCGCUGAACUUAA